UCAGAUUCAUGAAGUUUUACUCAACUUCCAGGGCAUACCAAGUUGUGCUCAACAAGUCGGCGCCCGCGAGUGUGGCUAUUACGUUAUGAAGUUCAUGCAUGAAAUAGUCACGUUACACCAUAACUCUGAUGAGCGGUUAGAUAAUGCUUACACUCCAAGAAAUGCGCCUUAUACCGAUGAGGAAAUAGAUGUGGUUCGUGAGCAAUGGGCUAAGUUUUUUACAACCGAGUAUUUAUUUACUUAGGUUGUUUAGACACAAAGAUGGAAG